AGUAAGGUUAGAGAGAGAAAGAAAAGAGAGGAAAAGAAGAGGAAAAAAGAGACGAAAAGAGAGGAAAAGAAGAGGAAAAAAGAGACGAAAAGAGAAGAAACCUAAUAAAAGUGAGGGAAAUUGAUGAAAUUUGGGUGUUUUUCCUUGAACAAACUCUACCUAAAUUUUGAGAGAAAGAGAGAGGAAGGAAGAAGGAAAUGAGAAAAACAAAGAAAGAAGAGAAAAGAAGAGCGAAAGUUUACAGCCAACUAAGGGAGAACCCCGCGGGUUUAAGAUAAAGAAGAUUUCACUGCAAAAUAGUAUGUGAUACAAAAGAGAAACUGAGAAGUUAGAAUUCAUAUUACCAAUUUAUACUUUUGUAUUGUAA